UUCAGAAAUCUAAGCGGACUUUGGAUGAUACUCUUGGGACAAAAAGUCCUAGUGGUAAGAGGCAGCGGCUUCUUGCAAUGGAAAAGACUGAUGCAGUGAUGGUGAAAACUUCGAGCAACAAAGGCAAGAAGUCUCGUGGAAAGAGUGGGACAGGAUCUAAAACUGCAGCCAUGAAAAAGCGGUCUCAGAUGCAGGCCAAAUUUGGAAUGGUGUAGAGUGACAAGUUGCACUGUUGAACUAGUUCAUAAUUCAGGAAGUGGAUGACUGGAGUGAUGAUAUUUCAAGUGAAUCGCAGGUUCAUUUCGAUAGUCAUUGACUUAUCAAAUAGAGAACCUUAAUAUUAUAUUGCUUACAUUCUUCAAGGUUUUGAUGAAGAA